rnacentral:misc_RNA from 1 species
UGGAAGUAAAAAGUCGUAACAAGGUUUCCGUAGGUGAACCUGCGGAAGGAUCAUUACCGAGUGAGGGCCCUCUGGGUCCAACCUCCCACCCGUGUUUAUUUUACCUUGUUGCUUCGGCGGGCCCGCCUUAACUGGCCGCCGGGGGGCUUACGCCCCCGGGCCCGCGCCCGCCGAAGACACCCUCGAACUCUGUCUGAAGAUUGUAGUCUGAGUGAAAAUAUAAAUUAUUUAAAACUUUCAACAACGGAUCUCUUGGUUCCGGCAUCGAUGAAGAACGCAGCGAAAUGCGAUACGUAAUGUGAAUUGCAAAUUCAGUGAAUCAUCGAGUCUUUGAACGCACAUUGCGCCCCCUGGUAUUCCGGGGGGCAUGCCUGUCCGAGCGUCAUUUCUGCCCUCAAGCACGGCUUGUGUGUUGGGCCCCGUCCUCCGAUCCCGGGGGACGGGCCCGAAAGGCAGCGGCGGCACCGCGUCCGGUCCUCGAGCGUAUGGGGCUUUGUCACCCGCUCUGUAGGCCCGGCCGGCGCUUGCCGAUCAACCCAAAUUUUUAUCCAGGUUGACCUCGGAUCAGGUAGGGAUACCCGCUGAACUUAAGCAUAUCAAU